rnacentral:lncRNA from 1 species
CGCGGAUCCUAGCAGCCCAGCCCCCUCCCAAAAGGCCUGGCACCAGUCACCUAGCCCAGUACACCCUCCCCGGGGACCUAGGAGUCCCAGCCAUCCUCCGGAGCCCCUUGGGACACGGGCGUCGGAGCCCCGGCCCCCGCCUUCCGGAUCCAGGUGUCCCCUCCGCACACCCAGCCCGAAGCCUGCGUCUCGAGGCCGCGCUCGCGUCGCCAUGGCAACGGGAGUCUAUUUUGCGCCGGGAACACACAGCUCCCUCCGCAGCGCCCCCCACCCACCCUGCUCAAGAGUGAGGGGCUCAAAGGGCGGGGGACAGUGCAGUGAUGAGGAUGAGACACUUAGAAGGGACCGAGUUCCUUGGACAAACAUGCAGAGAUUGAGAGAGCCCCUGACAGA